UACGAAGGGGGCUAGCGUUGCUCGGAAUGACUGGGCGUAAAGGGCGCGUAGGCGGCUUGCACCGUCAGAUGUGAAAUUCCUGGGCUUAACCUGGGGGCUGCAUUUGAUACGUGUGGGCUUGAGUGCGGAAGAGGGUCGUGGAAUUCCCAGUGUAGAGGUGAAAUUCGUAGAUAUUGGGAAGAACACCGGUGGCGAAGGCGGCGACCUGGUCCGUGACUGACGCUGAGGCGCGAAGCGUGGGGAGCAAACGGG
rnacentral:rRNA from 1 species